CUUAAAGCCAAGUGAUACGGUUCUAAUUUCCUUUGUAUUAUUUAACCUUGUCGCCUCUGAGAGGUAGUCUCUGCUCCCCCUGCACAGCUGAGAAGACUGAGGUUUAAGGAAAUGGAGGGACUUGUCCAAGACCAACUCAACUCCUGCUGGAAUCCAGACACUCACAGAACCUUUCCCGGAUUAUUUUGGCAAAAAAGAUGACUGUGGAGAAGAUGGAAUGUUUUCAGGCCUGAAAAGUGGUGAAUGCCUAUAGUCCCAGCACUCAGGAGGCUGAGGCAAGGAGGAUUGCUGACCAGCCCUCCCAGAAGUUGAGUUUCUUGAACAAAUGAAGAAGACAGAAUCAUUUCACAGCCACCAAAGAUUCCUGGAAAUAUCAAUGGUCUACAUCAAUCAUGACAUAAUGAGAGUCAAUAUUUCAAGACAAUUCUAAAUGAAAUUCCUGAAGACGUCUAAUUAAAAUGGGAUGGAGUUCUCAUAAGAUACAGACUGGUCUGCAGACUGAUCUUCAGGACAGUGUCACAAGGUUCAUUUGAAUCAAUCUCCUAAUGCUUGUCCAGCAUGCAUGAGGCCUUGGGUUCCAUACGCAGCACUGCACAACUAAUAAUAAUUAGUUGAUAAUAAAAAGGAUAAAUCAGCCACCUUUCUUAGGAGCUACCUAGGAGGCCAAUUCCCAGUACAUUUGCUUCUUGGGUCCCAUUCUCUCUGGGCAUUGUCUGCAACAGAAGGAAGAUAAGAUAACAUGAAAUCACUGGAGGACUGUCAUUAAAAACAAUUUACAUCUGAGUCUUCCACAAAUGUGUGCAGCCCAUUUCCUUCCUUUGGCACCUCCUCUGUUACCCAUGACAUUAUUAAUGUUUGAACUUGUCUGAAAUGUGUUUUGUGCCUGUGUACUUGAUGAGCCUCAUUUUGCCAGAAGUCAUUUGCAGAGAAGCAAGUCUCCACUGCCUUUGAAUAAACUGAAGAUGGAUAAGAACAGAGCAGAGGUCCUUUCCUGACAACCUCAUGGUAGACAGCCCAUGUGGGGGCAUUGGGUAGCAAGCCCCCUACCCCAAAUUAGAAUAGACAACAAAGGUUUCCAUGUAAGUGAGCAAAACCAGUUAGAAGAUAAAGUAGAAAAGAAGACCCCAAUUAUAAGACAAAGAAGCCAGGUGUGAUGAAGCACAGUAAUCUUAGUACUUAGGAGGCAGAGGCAGGAGGAUCACCACAAGCAAGUUCAAGGCCAGCCUUGACUACAUCGUGAGUUCAAGGCCAGCCUGAGCUACAUAGCAAGAUCCUGUUUCAAAAAACAAAACACAGCAAGCACAAGGACCAGAGUUCAAUCCCCGGUACCAAAAACACCCACACCCCCACACAAAGGCAAAAUAGGACAAAGAAAGUGAAAGUAGAGCUGGAGGCGUAGUCAGUGGUACAGCAAUUGCCUAGCAUGCAUGAAGUCUUGGGUUUCAUCCCCGGCACCUUAGAGAAAAGAAAUAGAGAAAAGGGGGAGUGAAAUCUAGAGCAUAGACUAUCUCAUCUUAACUGUUAAAACAAAUGCCAGAACCUAAAUGAGAAAAAUCAUAAGACUCUGGAAACAUGCAAAAGUAGAUUUGAACACCAAAAAGACAUGUAUUAUUAGACAGAAACGCUCAACAUCAUUGAGUAGUUUGUUCUCCCCAGAUUAACAGACUAAUUAAUGCAAUCCAAAUAGAUUCAGUUAACAAUUACCAAGUUCAUUUAGAUGAAGAAAGACACACCAACAGCCAGCAAUCCUCCGCAGAAGUAACUGGGGACAGAGGAAUGGCCCACCCUU
ensembl:lncRNA